AACGAACGCUGGCGGCAUGCCUAACACAUGCCAGUCGAACGAGACCUUCGGGUCUAGUGGCGCACGGGUGCGUAACGCGUGGGAACCUGCCCUUAGGUUCGGAAUAACUCCCCGAAAGGGGUGCUAAUACCGGAUAAUGUCUUCGGACCAAAGAUUUAUCGCCUUUGGAUGGGCCCGCGUUGGAUUAGCUAGUUGUAGGGUAAAAGCCUACCCAGGCGACGAUCCAUAGCUGGUCUGAGAGGAUGAUCAGCCACACUGGGACUGAGACACGGCCCAGACUCCUACGGGAGGCAGCAGUGGGGAAUAUUGGACAAUGGGCGAAAGCCUGAUCCAGCAAUGCCGCGUGAGUGAUGAAGGCCUUAGGGUUGUAAAGCUCUUUUACCCGGGAUGAUAAUGACAGUACCGGGAGAAUAAGCUCCGGCUAACUCCGUG
rnacentral:rRNA from 1 species